rnacentral:rRNA from 1 species
UACGGAAGGCAGCAGGGGGAAUAUUGCACAAUGGGCGCAAGCCUGAUGCAGCCAUGCCGCGUGUAUGAAGAAGGCCUUCGGGUUGUAAAGUACUUUUCAGUCGUGAGGAAGGUGUUAAGGUUAAUAACCUUAGCAAUUGACGUUAGCGACAGAAGAAGCACCGGCUAACUCCGUGCCAGCAGCCGCGGUAAUACGGAGGGUGCGAGCGUUAAUCGGAAUUACUGGGCGUAAAGGGCACGCAGGCGGUUAAUUAAGUUGGAUGUGAAAUCCCCGGGCUUAACCUGGGAAUGGCAUUCAAGACUGGUUAGCUAGAGUCUUGUAGAGGGGGUAGAAUUCCAUGUGUAGCGGUGAAAUGCGUAGAGAUGUGGAGGAAUACCGGUGGCGAAGGCGGCCCCUGGACAAAGACUGACGCUCAUGUGCGAAAGCGUGGGGAGCGAAACAGGGAUUAGAUACCCGU